rnacentral:rRNA from 1 species
GAUUAGCUAGUUGGUGAGGUAAUGGCUCACCAAGGCAACGAUCAGUAUCCGGUCUGAGAGGAUGAUCAGCCACACUGGGACUGAGACACGGCCCAGACUCCUACGGGAGGCAGCAGUGGGGAAUUUUGGACAAUGGGGGCAACCCUGAUCCAGCCAUGCCGCGUGUGUGAAGAAGGCCUUCGGGUUGUAAAGCACUUUCGGGACGGGAACGAAAAUCGCGCGGGCGAAUAUCCCGCGUGGAGUGACGGUAACCGUAAAGAAGAAGCACCGGCUAACUACGUGCCAGCAGCCGCGGUAAUACGUAGGGUGCGAGCGUUAAUCGGAAUUACUGGGCGUAAAGUGUGCGCAGGCGGCCGAGCAAGUCGAGUGUGAAAGCCCCGAGCUUAACUUGGGAAUUGCGCUCGAAACUACUUGGCUGGAGUGUGGCAGAGGAAGGUGGAAUUCCAGGUGUAGCGGUGAAAUG